rnacentral:rRNA from 1 species
UCAGUAGGUGACCUGCGGAAGGAUCAUU